rnacentral:rRNA from 1 species
UACGUAGGGACCAAGCGUUGUUCGGAUAUACUGGGCGUAAAGCGCACGUAGGCGGAUCGUUAAGUCGGGGGUGAAAUCCUGGAGCUCAACUCCAGAACUGCCUUCGAUACUGGCGAUCUUGAGUCCGGAAGAGGUGAGUGGAACUCCUAGUGUAGAGGUGGAAUUCGUAGAUAUUCGGAAGAACACCAGUGGCGAAGGCGGCUCACUGGACUGGUAUUGACGCUGAGGUACGAAAGCGUGGGGAGCAAACAGG